rnacentral:lncRNA from 1 species
GUGGCUAUCCUUAGCUUCUUUCAGUUCUCAAGGGAAUGCUACCAACUUCAGUAUGAUGUUGGCUGUGGAUUUGUCACACAUGAAUACAUGGCUUUUAUUACUUUUGAAGCAUGUUCCUUCAAUGCCUAGUGUUUUGUGAGUUUCUAUCAUGAAGAUAUGAAGAAUAGAGCCAAUAUUACAACAAAUAACCUUCAUGCCUGCAAAAACUUUUUCAGCUUAACUAAUGCUUGUGAUGUUUAACGCCUGUCUUUUCAACUUGGUCUACUGAGUCUUCAAUACUGGUGACUGAGCUGCUUGAAGUGAACUCUGGACAAGGUGGAGAGCAUCUUCUUGAUUUAAGGUCUGAUAAAAACUAGCAGUCUUUCAAUUUAUCCAGUAAAAUGGGUCAUAACAAUACAACUAUAUGGUAUAUUUUGUUUCCAAAAUUAAAAACGUCCUAACAAUCACUGUGCUUCUAUUUUAGCAGUAGUGGGUAAAUGGAGCUACGAUCUUUAUUUUUUUUACCUUGGAAGAAAUAUCACACACAUACAUGUACACACAAUGACUCCUUGAAACUUUAUUUAGAAGGCAGACUCUGAGACUUAUCUCUCUCAGCAUUCAGAAUGUGUAAGUCUUGCCAACUCAUUCAGGAUAGCUCCUUUUUUUCUCACCAGGUCUUGACAUUAUAAAUGUUAUAGACCAAUACGCUAUGUUUGAGAGUAGUGAAAUGAUCAGUGUCCCUCUGGAUUAAUUCGGACCUUUAAUAGGAGAGUUGAUGUAACACAGAGGUAAGAAAAUGAGGGUCUACUGCUGUUCCCUGAUAGAUUUAAUCAAAUUACAUCUGGUGCUUUCUCUUAAAGAAUGGAGAAAAAGCCGUUAGCAGAUGGAGAGUUGCAUAUCAGGGGAUGCAUUAAUUUUCUCCGCAGUAAUUUUUCAGGACACGUCUGUACAGACCAGUUAAGUAAGCUAAA